AAGUCUAGAAAAAAUAAGUCUGAUGAGGAGAUGUGGUGAUCUCCGAAAUAGCAGCUGUAACUUCUUCCACGUAGAUUUUGUUGCUUUAUCCAUUUUUCCAAAGUUACAAUUUUAAAA